CCCUUAGAUGUUCUGGGCCGCACGCGCGCUACACUGAUGCAUUCAACGAGCCUAACCUUGACCGAGAGGUCCGGGUAAUCUUUGAAACUGCAUCGUGAUGGGGCUAGAUUAUUGCAAUUAUUAAUCUUCAACGAGGAAUGCCUAGUAAGCGUGAUUCAUCAAAUCGCGUUGAUUACGUCCCUGCCCUUUGUACACACCGCCCGUCGCUCCUACCGAUUGAGUGUGUUGGUGAGGAGUUCGGAUUGGCUCUUAGUGGUGGUUCGCCACCACCUAGAGCUGAGAAGUUCUCCAAACCGCCCCACUUAGAGGAAGGAGAAGUCGUAACA
rnacentral:rRNA from 1 species